GAUGAACGCUGGCGGCGUGCCUAAUACAUGCAAGUCGAGCGAACGGACGAGAAGCUUGCUUCUCUGAUGUUAGCGGCGGACGGGUGAGUAACACGUGGAUAACCUACCUAUAAUACUGGGAUAACUUCGGGAAACCGGAGCUAAUACCGGAUAAUAUUUUGAACCGCAUGGUUCAAAAGUGAAAGACGGUCUUGCUGUCACUUAUAGAUGGAUCCGCGCUGCAUUAGCUAGUUGGUAAGGUAACGGCUUACCAAGGCAACGAUGCAUAGCCGACCUGAGAGGGCGAUCGGCCACACUGGAACUGAGACACGGUCCAGACUCCUACGGGAGGCAGCAGUAGGGAAUCUUCCGCAAUGGGCGAAAGCCUGACGGAGCAACGCCGCGUGAGUGAUGAAGGUCUUCGGAUCGUAAAACUCUGUUAUUAGGGAAGAACAUAUGUGUAAGUAACUGUGCACAUCUUGACGGUACCUAAUCAGAAAGCCACGGCUAACUACGUG
rnacentral:rRNA from 1 species